ACGGGAGGCCGCAGUCGGGAAUAUUGCGCAAUGGAGGAAACUCUGACGCAGUGACGCCGCGUGAAGGAAGAAGGUUUUCGGAUUGUAAACUGCUUUAGACAGGGAAGAAAAAAAUGACAGUACCUGUAGAAUAAGCUCCGGCUAACUACGUGCCAGCAGCCGCGGUAAUACGUAGGGAGAGAGCGUUAUCCGGAUUUAUUGGGUGUAAAGGGUGCGUAGACGGGAAAUUAAGUUAGUUGUGAAAUCCCAAGGCUCAACUUUGGAACUGCAACUAAAACUAAUUUACUUAAGUACUGGAGAGGUAAGUGGAAUUCCUAGUGUAGCGGUGAAAUGCGUAGAUAUUAGGAGGAACACCAGUGGCGAAGGCGACUUUCUGGACAGAAACUGACGUUGAGGCACGAAAGUGUGGGGAGCAAACAGGAUUAGAUACCCUGGUA
rnacentral:rRNA from 1 species